rnacentral:rRNA from 1 species
UACAGAGGGUGCGAGCGUUAAUCGGAAUUACUGGGCGUAAAGCGUGCGUAGACGGUUAUUUAAGUCGGGUGUGAAAGCCCCGGGCUCAACCUGGGAAUUGCAUUCGAGACUGAAUAGCUAGGGUACGGUAGAGGGAAGUGGAAUUUCCGGUGUAGCGGUGAAAUGCGUAGAUAUCGGGAAGAACACCCGUGGCGAAGGCGGCUCUCUGGGACGGUACUGACGCUGAGACGCGAAAGCGUGGGGAGCGAACAGG